rnacentral:rRNA from 1 species
UACGAAGGGGGCUAGCGUUGCUCGGAAUUACUGGGCGUAAAGCGCACGUAGGCGGCUUGUUAAGUCGGGGGUGAAAUCCUGGAGCUCAACUCCAGAACUGCCUUCGAUACUGGCGAGCUCGAGUUCGGGAGAGGUGGAGUGGAAUUCCGAGUGUAGAGGUGAAAUUCGUAGAUAUUCGGAGGAACACCAGUGGCGAAGGCGGCUCACUGGCUCGGUACUGACGCUGAGGUGCGAAAGCGUGGGGAGCAAACAGGG